rnacentral:rRNA from 1 species
AUUGAACGCUGGCGGCAGGCCUAACACAUGCAAGUCGAGCGGAUGAAGGGAGCUUGCUCCUGGAUUCAGCGGCGGACGGGUGAGUAAUGCCUAGGAAUCUGCCUGGUAGUGGGGGAUAACGUCCGGAAACGGGCGCUAAUACCGCAUACGUCCUGAGGGAGAAAGUGGGGGAUCUUCAGACCUCACGCUAUCAGAUGAGCCUAGGUCGGAUUAGCUAGUUGGUGGGGUAAAGGCCCACCAAGGCGACGAUCCGUAACUGGUCUGAGAGGAUGAUCAGUCACACUGGAACUGAGACACGGUCCAGACUCCUACGGGAGGCAGCAGUGGGGAAUAUUGGACAAUGGGCGAAAGCCUGAUCCAGCCAUGCCGCGUGUGUGAAGAAGGUCUUCGGAUUGUAAAGCACUUUAAGUUGGGAGGAAGGGCAGUAAGUUAAUACCUUGCUGUUUUGACGUUACCAACAGAAUAAGCACCGGCUAACUUCGUG